AGAAUCCAGGUGCCCGUGAGGGCCUGGGUUUUCGACGCUCCUGCCCUUCCAAAAAGUGCGCUUGGCGGAGAUCGCCUGGCCCCGAUCCAAUGCCAGAGGGUCUGGUCUGCUUCCAUCCCUCCUCGGGAUCUACCAGUGGAGCUGUUUCUUCGAAGCGGAACCAGCAGCGUCCCUGUGGCUCUACUACCCACAAACGGUGUUGUACUUCUCGGACAUCGUCCCACAUCGUGUGUUCGACCUGCAAACAUUGACAGAGACUUGACCGAAAUCAGCGCCAGUCGAGAACAGGAAAAUUGAC